AUUGAACGCUGGCGGCAUGCCUUACACAUGCAAGUCGAACGGCAGCACGGGGCAACCUGGUGGCGAGUGGCGAACGGGUGAGUAAUGCAUCGGAACGUGCCAUUGAGUGGGGGAUAACGUAGCGAAAGUUGCGCUAAUACCGCAUACGACCUGAGGGUGAAAGCGGGGGGAUCGCAAGACCUCGCGCGAGAGGAGCGGCCGAUGGCGGAUUAGCUAGUUGGUGGGGUAAAGGCCCACCAAGGCGACGAUCCGUAGCGGGUCUGAGAGGACGGCCCGCCACACUGGGACUGAGACACGGCCCAGACUCCUACGGGAGGCAGCAGUGGGGAAUUUUGGACAAUGGGGGCAACCCUGAUCCAGCCAUUCCGCGUGAGUGAAGAA
rnacentral:rRNA from 1 species